GUUUUUAUAAUUUAAAUAAAAUAAUGAUUUUGUAAAUCAAAUAUAGGAAAUUUUAAACCUUAAAAACA
rnacentral:tRNA from 1 species